UACGGAGGGAGCUAGCGUUGUUCGGAAUUACUGGGCGUAAAGGGCUCGUAGGCGGCCAACUAAGUCAUACGUGAAAUCCCUCGGCUUAACCGGGGAACUGCGUCUGAUACUGGAUGGCUUGAGUUCGGGAGAGGGAUGCGGAAUUCCAGGUGUAGCGGUGAAAUGCGUAGAUAUCUGGAGGAACACCGGUGGCGAAGGCGGCAUCCUGGACCGAUACUGACGCUGAUGAGCGAAAGCCAGGGGAGCAAACGGGG
rnacentral:rRNA from 1 species